UUGUUCGUGAAAUCUCACGGCUUAACUGUGAGCGUGCGGGCGAUACGGGCAGACUUGAGUACUGCAGGGGAGACUGGAAUUCCUGGUGUAGCGGUGGAAUGCGCAGAUAUCAGGAGGAACACCGGUGGCGAAGGCGGGUCUCUGGGCAGUAACUGACGCUGAGGAGCGAAAGCGUGGGGAGCGAACAGGAUUAGAUACCCUGGUAGUCCACGCCGUAAACGGUGGGUACUAGGUGUGGGUUUCCUUCCUUGGGAUCCGUGCCGUAGCUAACGCAUUAAGUACCCCGCCUGGGGAGUACGGCCGCAAGGCUAAAACUCAAAGAAAUUGACGGGGGCCCGCACAAGCGGCGGAGCAUGUGGAUUAAUUCGAUGCAACGCGAAGAACCCUACCUGGUUUUGACAUGCACAGGACGCCGGCAGAGAUGUCGGUUCCCUUGUGGCCUGUGUGCAGGUGGUGCAUGGCUGUCGUCAGCUCGUGUCGUGAGAUGUUGGGUUAAGUCCCGCAACGAGCGCAACCCUUGUCUCAUGUUGCCAGCGGGUAAUGCCGGGGACUCGUGAGAGACUGCCGGGGUCAACUCGGAGGAAGGUGGGGAUGACGUCAAGUCAUCAUGCCCCUUAUGUCCAGGGCUUCACACAUGCUACAAUGGCCGGUACAAAGGGCUGCGAUGCCGCGAGGUUAAGCGAAUCCUUUUAAAGCCGGUCUCAGUUCGGAUCGGGGUCUGCAACUCGACCCCGUGAAGUCGGAGUCGCUAGUAAU
rnacentral:rRNA from 1 species